rnacentral:lncRNA from 10 species
UGAGCUGAAAUAUGAGUUGUCCAACUCUUGUAAGUGCAUGCUCCAUCACAUCAUCCUGAGUCAGUAAUGAGGAUGCCAUUGUACCCUUCAAGCAGCCCUGGAGAGUUUAUCUCUGCAUGCUGGAGCUAAUAAUAAUAGAAUCUCAAGAGCCUUCAAACAUCCAUAUUAUGCUGAUGUCUUUUAAGGUGAUUCAACUCAGCAUAUGUUGUUUGAAGCCGUGAGACUGAGUGAGAUCAUGGAGGAAGUGAAUGUAAAUAGAAAAGGGAAGAAGUCUGAAGACGGAGCCCUGAGACACUCCAUUGUAAACUGGAAGAUGAGGAAGAGCCAGCAAAGGAGACUGAGAAGGGGCAGCCAGUGAAGAUGGAGCCAGGGCUAGAGUAAGAGCCCCUUCUGGGAUGCUGUGACCCCCAAGUUUGAAGACUGCUGAUAACCCCAAUCUACGAAGACUAGCUAUGGAACUUCCUACACUGAGACAACUCCAGUGGAACUCUGAUAAUUAUCCUAAAAUAAGGAGGCUUCUUCAGUAGCCCUCGAAAUAUGUUCAAAUACAUGAUUACAUUUAUGUCCUUAAUAUUGCUAUUAGUUUCUGAUGUUAAUGUAAAAGUUGGGGAAAAAGUGGAAAAGUUAAAGCAGUGCAGGUUAAUUCAAUGCCAGAGUAACUUCUCAGAGGGUGUAUAUUCAGUGUGAACAAUUUUCAACAGAGAAAUGUCAACUUCUGGCCACAACGGCAACCAGUAAAAUGACUAUUUUUACUGUCUUAUCUAUUAAUGAAGAGGAGAUUGCAUAAUAUAGAUGAAGGAGCAUAGUAUUUGCAGGUGGAACGCCUAGCAGGGCUUGAGUCUCAACUCUGCUGCUUUUACUCUAAUUGACCGAGACAAGUCAUUUAAACUAAUAGAGCUUCAAUUUUCUCAUAUCUAAUGUAACAUAACAAUUCACAGCCUUUUACUUUGUAGUUAUCGUGAAGAUCUAAUCGCAGUGAAAUAUAUUUAUAUAUCUGUCUGCUGAUA